rnacentral:rRNA from 1 species
GAGGCAGCAGUAGGGAAUCUUCCGCAAUGGACGAAAGUCUGACGGAGCAACGCCGCGUGAGUGAUGAAGGUUUUCGGAUCGUAAAGCUCUGUUGUUAGGGAAGAACAAGUACCGUUCGAAUAGGGCGGUACCUUGACGGUACCUAACCAGAAAGCCACGGCUAACUACGUGCCAGCAGCCGCGGUAAUACGUAGGUGGCAAGCGUUGUCCGGAAUUAUUGGGCGUAAAGGGCUCGCAGGCGGUUCCUUAAGUCUGAUGUGAAAGCCCCCGGCUCAACCGGGGAGGGUCAUUGGAAACUGGGGAACUUGAGUGCAGAAGAGGAGAGUGGAAUUCCACGUGUAGCGGUGAAAUGCGUAGAGAUGUGGAGGAACACCAGUGGCGAAGGCGACUCUCUGGUCUGUAACUGACGCUGAGGAGCGAAAGCGUGGGGAGCGAACAGGAUUAGAUACCCUGGUAGUCCACGCCGUAAACGAUGAGUGCUAAGUGUUAGGGGGUUUCCGCCCCUUAGUGCUGCAGCUAACGCAUUAAGCACUCCGCCUGGGGA